AUCAAGCCUGGGCAAUGGCGGGUGCCCCUCCUCCAGCCUCGCUGCCGCCUUGCAGUUUGAUCUCAGACUGCUGUGCUAGCAAUCAGCGAGACUCCGUGGGCGUAGGACCCUCUGAGCCAGGUGUGGGAUAUAAUCUCGUGGUGCGCCGUUUUUUAAGCCCGUCGGAAAAGCACAGUAUUCGGGUGGGAGUGACCCGAUUUUCCAGUUUCAAACAUCUUCAAGGCAGAAACGUGUUGUAUUUGCAUGCUGUUUAGAAGGCAGUGUACUGAAUAGUACCAGUUUUUUCAGAGACAAAUAUGGUGUACUUAUUUGAAAAGAAAGGAUGAUACACAUACAUAGCCAUCCAAAAAAUCCUGCAACCAGUAGCAAAUUAUAUUACACAUUGGACACAUCCUAAAUGAUGCAAGGUAAUAACAAAAAUUUACCUGUUUUCAAUCAUGUUCUUCCACAAUUUCAGCCUCAGAACAUGCAAAACCACGACACACUGGUAUGGUCAAACCAGGCUCUUCACUCUCCAUUCAACUUGACAUUUGCAUUUCUUCUCCUUCAGCCUCUAUAAUUAUAUUGUUGUUUAUUUAACAUACCUUUUUUCUAAUCUCUACUCACAGUGACAUCCUAAAAUGUCACUUGAAAGUCUAUGUUGACAGAAGAAUUCCUCUCUUUAAAUUCUGGGAAGCUAUUUUUUGGGAACCUAUUAUGUCUCAAAUGCUAUGUACAAUUAGAGUUGCUUCAGUUCCAGAAUAUUCAGUUUUGCCAUGCAAUUCAUUGAUUAAUUGCAGAAUUAGCUAUAUCCUUUUGUGUGUUAUUUGGUUUACAGAUUCAAACUCUGUAUAUAGUAAACUUCUUAUGGGAAGAAAUCAUUUCUCAAACUAAUAUGAGUGUAAUAGUUAAAAAAGAAACAAUUUAUACAUUUUUAAUUUAAU
rnacentral:lncRNA from 10 species